rnacentral:rRNA from 1 species
AUUGAACGCUGGCGGCAGGCCUAACACAUGCAAGUCGAACGAGUGGCGGACGGGUGAGUAACGUCUGGGAAACCGCCCGAUGGAGGGGGAUAACUACUGGAAACGGUAGCCAAUACCGCAUACCAUCGGAUGUGCCCAGAUGGGAUUAGCUAGUAGGUGGGGUAACGGCUCACCGAGGCGACGAUCCCUAGCUGGUCGGAGAGGAUGACCAGCCACACUGGAACUGAGACACGGUCCAGACUCCGAGGGGAGGCGGCAGUGGGGAAUUUUGGAAAAUGGGGGAAACCCUGAUCAGGCCAUCCCCCGUGGGCGAUGAAGGCCUUCGGGUUGAAAAGCACGUUUGGCGGGAAAGCGGUAACUGAAGAAUAAGCACCGGCUAACUACGUGCCAGCCGCCGCGGUAAUUC